rnacentral:rRNA from 1 species
UACGGAGGGUGCGAGCGUUGUUCGGAAUCACUGGGCGUAAAGCGCGUGUAGGCGGCCCACUAAGUCUGAUGUGAAAGCCCGGGGCUCACCCCCGGAAGUGCAUUGGAAACUGGUGGACUCGAGUCCCGGAGAGGAGAGUGGAAUUCCUGGUGUAGCGGUGAAAUGCGCAGAUAUCAGGAGGAACACCAAUGGCGAAGGCAGCUCGCUGGGACGGUACUGACGCUGAGGCGCGAAAGCGUGGGGAGCAAACAGG